rnacentral:lncRNA from 1 species
AAAGGGAAAUAAGAAAUCUGAUGUUAUCCUCAUUUUUACCUAUAAAAAGGCAUUCCCUUUCCUUCAUUUACACGUUUUGAGAGCCCAAAAACUCCCCCCAAAAAUACUCUCUACUUUUCAGAUCUGAAUUUGAAAUUCAACAUUCAAAAAAACCAAAAAAAAAAAAAAAAAAAAAAAAAAAAAAAAAACUUUUCCUUUGAAAANNNNNNNNNNNNNNNNNNNNNNNAAAAAAAAAAAAAAAAAAAAAAAAAAAAAAAAAAAAAAAAAAAAAAAAAAAAAAAAAAAAAAAAAAAAAAAAAAAAAAAAAAAUCAAAAAACACUUUUCCAUUGAAAAUGCUUUAGUUUAAUUUUGACCUCUACUUAAUCAAUCCACAUCUUCUAGUUCGAAAUUUUAUGGCUGUGGUUUCACAGGUAUAUGAGAUUGGUUUCGAGUGAUUUUGGGUCCAGGUAAGUUGGAUUUUGAUUGAGCUUUGGUUUGCUGAAGGUUUUAAGUGUUUCUGGGUUCAUUUUCAAGUUUACUUAGUUGGUUUUGGUGCUGCUGUGGGUUAAUCUCUCAGUUCUGUUUGAUUUAAAACCUCUCUGGAUCACUGAUUCAUUUCUGGGAUGAAAUUGUUGUAUUGUUGCUGUUGAAACUCCUAAUCGCUGUUGUCUGUUCUGCUUUGCUAACUUCUCCUUCUUCCUGUUAAAUUCUAAUUUCCAGGUACACAUAUUGAAUUCACACUAAUGUAGCUUCAAAUUGGAGUGAAAUGAAGUAAUGUUCCAGAUUUGUGUUCACCUGAAUAGUUGAAGUUAUAAUCAGAUGAAUGAUAUGUAAUUAUCUAGCAUUAAAUUGGUUGAAUUGUAUUAAACCAGUGAUUGAUUAAUUAGAAUUGUUUCAAAUUGCGCUGGACUGUUAACUUUGAUUUUAAAUUUAUUCCUUCUGAAAUAGAGUCCUUAGCGUAAUAUGGUUUGACUGUUUGUGUUAAUUGUUACUAAACUGGAAAUCGAAUGCAAACAAUAGCACAUAGGCGUCUGUUCACGAUUAGUCUAGGUCUGGUAAACAUGUCAUGUAUGUUUGAUUUGAAAUCAAAAAUUAGCCAUGACUUCAUGUGUGAUUUAAAUGUCAUAAAUCGUUGUUAUAACUAGGUGUAAUUCGUUAGAGUUAGUAAUAGGUAAUCCAGUUUCAUUAACAUCACUGGCUAUCAAGUUUCAUCACGUUAAUGAUCAACUAAAGGUCAUGAAUCUACUCUAAUAGGAUUGAGCAAACAGUUUAUGAGUCA